rnacentral:rRNA from 1 species
AGUGAACGCUGGCGGUAGGCCUAACACAUGCAAGUCGAACGGCAGCACAGUAAGAGCUUGCUCUUACGGGUGGCGAGUGGCGGACGGGUGAGGAAUACAUCGGAAUCUACUUUUUCGUGGGGGAUAAGGUAGGGAAACUUACGCUAAUACCGCAUACGACCUACGGUUGAAAGCAGGGGAUCUUCGGACCUUGCGCGAUUGAAUGAGCCGAUGUCGGAUUAGCUAGUUGGCGGGGUAAAGGCCCACCAAGGCGACGAUCCGUAGCUGGUCUGAGAGGAUGAUCAGCCACACUGGAACUGAGACACGGUCCAGACUCCUACGGGAGGCAGCAGUGGGGAAUAUUGGACAAUGGGCGCAAGCCUGAUCCAGCCAUACCGCGUGGGUGAAGAAGGCCUUCGGGUUGUAAAGCCCUUUUGUUGGGAAAGAAAAGCAGCAGGUUAAUACCCCGCUGUUCUGACGGUACCCAAAGAAUAAGCACCGGCUAACUUCGUG